ACCUACGGGGGGCUGCAGUGGGGAAUCUUGGACAAUGGGCGCAAGCCUGAUCCAGCCAUGCCGCGUGAGUGAAGAAGGUCUUCGGAUUGUAAAGCUCUUUUACCAGGGACGAUAAUGACGGUACCUGGAGAAUAAGCCCCGGCAAACUUCGUGCCAGCAGCCGCGGUAAUACGAAGGGGGCUAGCGUUGUUCGGAAUUACUGGGCGUAAAGCGCACGUAGGCGGCGUAUUAAGUCAGGGGUGAAAUCCCGGAGCUCAACUCCGGAACUGCCUUUGAUACUGGUAGUCUAGAGAUCGGAAGAGGUUAGUGGAAUUCCCAGUGUAGAGGUGAAAUUCGUAGAUAUUGGGAAGAACACCAGUGGCGAAGGCGGCUAACUGGUCCGAUACUGACGCUGAGGUGCGAAAGCGUGGGGAGCAAACAGGAUUAGAUACCCCGGUAGUC
rnacentral:rRNA from 2 species